rnacentral:lncRNA from 1 species
UGCCUGUCCGACGUGCUCCUGGUGGUGGCGGCUUACGGUGAGGUCGCCGUUGCCGAAGGAUUUUUGGUCACUCGUUCCUUCUCCGUCCAAUAAAUCUUUGCUUGUUGUUGAUUUGUUGGGGACUGGGCGGCGUGUAUCUCCUGAUGAUCUACGGAUCGAGCGGUGUCUCGGCCUUCCCCUCCGAUGGUGGCGCCGUCGGAUGGAGAAGUGAUUUUGGUCCUCACGAAUCUGUAGAUCCCGCGAGUUCUUGGAUUCUCAGGCAGGGCGGUGUGGCGGCUUCGCCGUCCUGGCGAUGUGAGUAUCUAUCUCCCCCUCCUCUUUGUUGUUGCGCCGGCGAAGUAUCCAUCAGUGGCGUGGAGGUGGGGUCCUGGAGUGUAGGAGGUGUUUGGUUGAGCUGCAGGUUUGAUUCCCUCUCAAGAGAUGCUGGUCGUCUUCUUCCUCUCCGGUUCCGUUCGGAGAGUGUCGUUCUCUCGGAGUAUGCUGAUGCCGUUGUUGGCUCUUGGUGUCGCCGCCGAUAUGCGUUCAUCGACUUCAGAUCCCACCCGGCGUCGGGUGGCUCAUGCGGCUUCAAAAACUUUAUGGCGGGGGUUCCUGUACCCCUGAGGCGGCCUGUGGGCAUGGCGUCUUCUCCAGCUUCGGUGAGCUCCGGCGAUGGCGACGUGGUCUGCGCGUGUUCAGGCGAUGAGUGUUUCGGUGGCCGGCUGUGCUUUUCUGUUGUAUUUUCUUUCUGUUCAGAGGGUGUCUGUGUAAUAUUGUGCUAUGAAUAGAGCAGCUCUUUGUCUCAAAAAAAA